rnacentral:RNase_P_RNA from 2 species
UAAGUUAACCAGUUGAUCGCAUCUUAAUUGAUGAGGAAAGUCCGAGCUCCAUAGGAUAGGAUGCCGGGUAACACCCGGUGGAGGUAACUCCCAGGCUAGUGCCACAGAAAUAUACCGCCUUAUGUAAAUAAGGUAAGGGUGAAAAGGUAAGGUAAGAGCUUACCGGGUUUCAGGUAACUGGAAUGCCAGGUAAACCCCAUCUGGAGUAAGUCCAAAUAGGGAGAAUAUAAAAGUGAUCCGCUUUUCUCCGGGUAAGGACGCAUGAGGGUUCAGGUAACUGUUCCCCUAGAUAGAUGAUCUUCUAAUACAGAACUCGGCUUAUAGGUUGACUUAUUUU